AGCUUUGCGCAGUGGCAGUAUCGUAGCCAGUGAGGUUUAUCCGAGGCGCGAUUAUUGCUAAUUGAAAACUUUUGUCCAGCUGAUAAAAUCGCACUUCUUCAAAACCCAUGUCAGCCAUUCUGUCUUCCAUGAGG